CCAGACACGGCGCUAGCUGAUAGGGAGACUUCUUCAGCCCAGCGGCCCAAAAAGAGCUUCCUGGUCCACUGUGUGUAUUAAUAUGUCUUACUGCCUUGGUCGUCAAAUCAACAAUACAAGAGGUUUUGGGGAAAUCUUUUCCUUAUGACACAGAGUGACCCAUCAGAUUCCUGACCUCCAUUUUUUCCACAUACUCCGCCAGUGUCUUGAUCCACUCAUGAAGUGCACUGAGGAGCAAACUGUUCCCUUUCUAGUCAUUCUUUGUGUAACCCAUUUAAAAAUACAGCUACUAACCCCAGUAUUAAACCCUGGAAAAUUGGUUAGUUUGGUUUGUUUUCAUACUGAAAAAUAAUAUGUUUUGGUGUUAAAUUUGAUGUGUCAACAAAAUGUCAACAGCCUUUAAGAAUGAUUUAUUGCUGGACAUUCAUUGAAUAAGUGCAUUUUAUUGUCCUCUGCUGUCUUGUAGAAGUCACAAAUGUUACUUAUCUCAGUAAAUCUUCAAAUGCACAAAUUAAUGGGAUAGAUAUUAUUUAUUAUUCUAUAUUGCAUUUCUUUUAUCUUGUUUGGAAUGGGAAUUUGUAGGUUUUCAGCCAUAUAUCUUGACAACUUAUAUUUGGGGAUAAGCAUUCCAGAAAAACUUCUCUCUUAAAGAGUUAUGCUAUGUUGUUCACUCAGUGCUGUUAUUCAUGGUUGCUGAUGCUGAAAAGACAUUAAAUUUGUCAAGUGUUCAAGCUAACA